GCACGUAGUUAGCCGGCGCUUCUUCUGCAGGUACCGUCACUUUCGCUUCUUCCCUACUGAAAGAGGUUUACAACCCGAAGGCCGUCAUCCCUCACGCGGCGUCGCUGCAUCAGGCUUUCGCCCAUUGUGCAAUAUUCCCCA
rnacentral:rRNA from 1 species